GCCGCCUGCUCGAGGCUUGGACACGCCCGGGUCUUCUCUUGCCCCGCGCUGCGCCACCCGACCUGGGCCCUGGGAUGGGGCAGGGGCGGGGGGUGCUCGGCCCUGCCACACUGUGUGACCUUGGGAAGAUGCUUUUGCUGCUGCCAUUUCACAGACGGGAAAGCGACAACGGCCCGCCUGGACUUGAACACAGGCCCAAGGCCUUCUGACCACUUGCCCGCCUCUGCUGGUCUUGCUGUCUGUCCCCACGGCCUUCACUACUGUGUCCCUGGUGCCUAGAACAGAGCCUGGUACAUAGAAGGUGCUCGAUGAAUGAUGAGGAAACUGAGGCCCAGAAGAGCUAAGUGUGUCUGCUCCAGGUCACAUGAAAGGAUGAGAAGGAAUAAAAUCUUUCCAGUCUGACUUUCCCUCUUGGGUUUGUCAUAACAGGCCUGGCAAUCUUUUCCCUAUCCCAUUUUCAAGAGGAGAAAACUGAGGCGAUUUGCCAAGGGGAGAUCCACGUGGCUGCUUUGACAGAGAGUGUUCUGCAAAAGGGCUUAGAAAUCAGCCAGCAGGUGGCAGGUUCUGGGACUGCAGGAGCCAUUCACAUGCGUGAAGAUCCGCUGGGCGCCCUUGCUCUGGGAUCAGGAAAGGCCGGUGCCAUGGAUGUGAUAGAUGCACACAGGGCAUCAGCAGGCCGCCGAGAGGAACCAGAGUGUCCAACGAACAGAAAACAGUGCUCAACCUUCACAUUUAUCGAAUGUUCCUUGGCACAUGCUGUAAUUCUGGCCCUAAAGACACAUUCAUGGACAAGACAAGCAAUUCCUGUUCUCGUGGAGCUGAAAUUCUCCUGGGGGAAGACAAGCACUAAACAAGAUCAAUGAUUAAAGUAUAGAUUGUAUUAGAUUCUGGUCAGCACUAUGGAGGAAAAUACAGCAGGGGAGCAGAGCAGGAGUUCUGGGAGAUUUGAUUUUUUGUUUUCUGGGGUUUUUUGUUUGUUUGUUUUUUGAGACAGGGUCUCACUGCUGGAGUGCAGUGGCACGAUCUCUGCUCACUGCAGCCUCUGCUUCUUGGGCUCAGGUGAUCCUCCCACCUCAACCUCCCAAGUAGCUGGGACCACAGGGGCAUGCCACCACACCCAGCUGAUUUUUUAAUGUUUUGUAGAGAUCAGGUCUCAUUAUAUUGCCCAAGCUGGGGGAGUUGAUUUUAACUUUAUGUUAGAGUAGUCAGGGAAGACCUCACUGAGGUGACAUUUAAGCAAAAACCUGAAUGUGGUGAAGCAGGUAUCUGGGGGACCUUGGACCACACAAAGGGAACAGCAAGUGCAAAGGCCCUGAGGUAGGAGCACGUAGUUGUGGUGAUGACGGAGAGUAGCAGGAAUUUGUGUCAUAGAAAUAGUGGGGGCUGGCCAGGCACAGCGGCUCAUGCCUGCAAUCCUAGCACUUUGGGAGGCCGAGGUGGGUGGAUUACUUGAGGUCAGGAGUCUGAGACCAGCCUGGCCAACAUGGUGAAACCCCAUCUCUACUAAAAAUUAAAAAAAAAAAAAUGGCCAGGCAUGGUGGCGUGCAUCUGUAAUCCCAGCUAUUCAGGAGGCUGAGACAUGAGAAUCACUUGAACCCGGGAGGCGGAGGUUGCAGUGAGCCGAAAUUGUGCCUCUGCACUCCAACCUGGGUGACAAAGCAAGACUCUGCCUCCAAAAAAAAAAAAAUGGAACAUGGAAACAUGGAAUGGGAGAAAAUAUUUGCAAAUCAUAUAUCUGAUAAGGGGUUCAUAUCCAGAAUACAUAAAGAACUGUUACAACUCAACAGCAAUAAAAACAACUCAAUUAAAAAUGGGCAAAGGACUUGAAUAAACAUUUCUCCAGAGAAAACUGUGAAUGGCUAAUAAUCACAUGAUAAGAUACUCAACAUCACUAACCAUUAAGGAAAUACAAACCAAAACUGCAAUGAGGCGCAACACUUUGGUGGAUCACCUGAGGUCAAGAGUUGGAGACCAGCCUGGCCGACACGGUGAAACCCCGUCUCUACUAAAAAUACAAAAAUUAGCUGGGCGUGAUGGUACGUGCGUAUAGUCCCAGCUACUUGGGAGGCUGAGGCAGGAGAAUCACUUGAACCUGGGAGGUGGAGGUUGCAGCAAGCCAAGAUCACGCCACUGCACCCCAGCCUGGGCAACUGAGUGAGACUCCAUCUAAAAAACAAACAAAACGCAAUGAGAAGAGAGGAUUUUGAAUGUUCCCGACACAAAGAAAUGAUAAACGCUUGAGGUAAUGGAUAUCCUAAUUACCCAGAUUUGAUUAUUACACGUUGUAUACAUGUAUUGAAAUAUCAUUUUGUAACCCAUGAACAUGUACAAUUAUGUGUCAACUAAAAAUAAAAGGAAUAAAACACAAUGAGAUACCACCUUACGCCCAUUAGGCUGGCUGCUGCGUUGGGAAGGAUGUGUAGAAACUGGAAUGCUUGUGUAGCUACUGUGGGAAAUGGUAUGGCUGUUCCUCAAAAAAUUAAAAAUAGAAUUACCAAAUGACCCAGCAAUUUUAUUUCUGGGUGUGUAUCCAAACGAAUUGAAAGCAAGAUCUUGAAGAGAUAUUUGUACACUCACGUUCAUAGCAGCCUUCUUCACAAUAGCCAAAAGGUGGAAGCAAUUAGCUGGGUGUGGUGGCGGGUGCCUGUAAUCCCUGCUACUU
rnacentral:lncRNA from 10 species